GCCCCGAUAGCUCAGCGGAUAGAGCGUCUGCCUCCGGAGCAGAAGGUCGCAGGUUCGAGUCCUGUUCGGGGCGCCC
rnacentral:tRNA from 1 species